GCCCGCACCCGCACCUGACCCCCGCGGGCUGCUCCGGGCACUGGGGCUGGACUCACCUGGGACAGGUAACCUUCAUCAUCCUCAUCAUCCUCAUCAUCCUCAUCAUCAUCAUCCUCAUCAUCCUCAUCAUCCUCAUCAUCCUCAUCAUCCUCAUCAUCCUCAUCAUCCUGCUCCAUCAUCCUCAUCCUCAUCAUCCUCAUCAUCCUCAUCAUCCUCAUCAUCCUCAUCCUGCUCCAUCAUCCUCAUCAUCCUCAUCAUCCUCAUCCUCAUCAUCAUCCUCUUCCUGCUCCUUCCUCUUCCUCCUGCCCGCACCCGCACCUGACCCCCGCGGGCUGCUCCGGGCACUGGGGCUGGACUCACCUGGGACAGGUAACCUUCAUCAUCCUCAUCAUCCUCAUCAUCCUCAUCCUCAUCAUCCUCAUCAUCCUCAUCAUCCUCAUCCUCAUCAUCAUCCUCAUCAUCCUCAUCAUCCUCAUCCUGCUCCAUCCUCAUCAUCCUCAUCCUGCUCCAUCAUCCUGCCCCAUCAUCCUCAUCAUCAUCAUCCUGCGUCCUCAUCAUCCUCAUCAUCCUCAUCAUCCUCAUCAUCCUCAUCAUCCUCAUCAUCCUCAUCAUCCUCAUCAUCAUCAUCAUCCUCAUCCUGCUCCAUCAUCCUCAUCAUCCUCAUCAUCCUCAUCAUCCUGCUCCGUCAUCCUCAUCCUCAUCAUCAUCAUCAUCCUCAUCAUCUUCAUCAUCCUCAUCAUCAUCAUCCUCUUCCUGCUCCUUCCUCUUCCUCCUGCCCGCACCCCAGCCCGACCCCCGCGGGCUGCUCCGGGCACUGGGGCUGGACUCACCUGGAACAGGCCGUGUCCCGGAGCUCCCGGAGGGGACGGACACCAGGGACAUCGGUGACAUCACUGGUGACAUCACCGCUGACAUCACCGCUGACAUCAUCGGUGACAUCACCGGGGACAUCCAGGCUCACCUGGACUCGCUGCAGCUCCAGGACAGCGCCGGGGCCCCGCCCACAGCCCCCGAGCCCCGCCCACCCUCACCUGAGCAGAGCUGGCCGUGUCCCUGGUGCACGUUCCGGAACAUU
rnacentral:lncRNA from 1 species